GAAUGUACAAAAGCAGAAUUACCAAAGCUGUCACUGGACAUAGUGGGCCAUGAGCAGAGUCUAUCACCAGAAUCUGACAAGUUCAUCAGAACAUGACAUUAUGGAGUAAAUUAAAGUGGUUUCGUUCAACGACAGAGAGUACAACAAUACCUGGCCUCUGAACCUCAGAAAGUCCUGCAAGGUGAUCUUGCUUUGUGACUGUAGACCAAGCUGUUCCAUGAUUUCUUGGGCCAUAUCCUCCAUAUUCAGUUGGCGACACAUGUAGAUGAAAUCAUCACUGAAAAUUUAAAAUCAAAGUCUCAUUUCUUGUAAUCAGUAAUACAUGUAUUACAAUUACAUUCCUGCAUGUAUAAUGUUGGCUUUAUCUAAAAAAAAAAAAUAAAGAAAGAAAAUAUUGCA